rnacentral:lncRNA from 1 species
CUUUCCCUCCCUUAGAUGAUGUUUCUAAAUAAAGGAGUAGAAGGCUACCGAAACCUAAGUAGCAACCCUCCUAAUAAGAAAUAAAAUAUUAUUUCUCAUAUGAUGAACCAAAAAUUUUGGAAUUUGUCAGAUUCCCUCCAACAACUUUAGACUAAAUUGAUGAGAGAAUAAACCUUACAGACAGAUGAAAAAACAAAACUAAAAAAUGAACAGAAAUUCAUGAACUCACCUUUUCUAGUUCACUUUUCUUAGAAGAUCACCCUCUUCGAUCCUUUUUAAUCCUCAGAAGAUCAGUUGCUUUCCAUCC